rnacentral:tRNA from 2 species
ACUUAAAUAGUUUAAAAUAAAAUGUUAGCUUGUGGCGCUAAAGAUGUAAUUGUUAUUUUAAGUA